AGAGUUUGAUCAUGGCUCAGGAUGAACGCUGGCGGCGUGCCUAACACAUGCAAGUCGAGCGAUUCUCUUCGGAGAAGAGCGGCGGACGGGUGAGUAACGCGUGGGUAACCUGCCCUGUACACACGGAUAACAUACCGAAAGGUAUGCUAAUACGAGAUAAUAUACUUUUAUCGCAUGGUAGAAGUAUCAAAGCUUUUGCGGUACAGGAUGGACCCGCGUCUGAUUAGCUAGUUGGUAAGGUAACGGCUUACCAAGGCGACGAUCAGUAGCCGCCCUGAGAGGGUGAUCGGCCACAUUGGAACUGAGACACGGUCCAAACUCCUACGGGAGGCAGCAGUGGGGAAUAUUGCACAAUGGGCGAAAGCCUGAUGCAGCAACGCCGCGUGAGCGAUGAAGGCCUUCGGGUCGUAAAGCUCUGUCCUCAAGGAAGAUAAUGACGGUACUUGAGGAGGAAGCCCCGGCUAACUACGUG
rnacentral:rRNA from 1 species